rnacentral:rRNA from 1 species
UUUUCUGCUAUCCGGUUGAUACUAAGCUAUGCGAGUCUUCGUAGUAAUACAAGGCAGACGGCUCAGUAACGCGUAGUCAAUCUACCCUAUGGACGGGGAUAACCUCGGGAAACUGAGAAUAAUACCCGAUAGAACAUUAUGCCUGGAAUGGUUUAUGUUCCAAAUGAUUUAUCGCCGUAGGAUGGGACUGCGGCCUAUCAGUUUGUUGGUGAGGUAAUGGCCCACCAAGACUAUUACAGGUACGGGCUCUGAGAGGAGUGGCCCGGAGAUGGGUACUGAGACACGGACCCAGGCCCUAUGGGGCGCAGCAGGCGAGAAAACUUUGCAAUGUGCGAAAGCACGACAAGGUUAAUCCGAGUGGUUUCUGCUAAAGGAACCUUUUGUCGGUCCUAGAAACACCGAUGAAUAAGGGGUGGGCAAGUUCUGGUGUCAGCCGCCGCGGNAAAACCAGCACCUCAUGUGGUCAGGAUGAUUAUUGGGCCUAAAGCAUCCGUAGCCNGCUCUGU